rnacentral:rRNA from 1 species
UCAUGCUGAGGACUCUAGUGAGACUGCCGUCGUAAGAUGUGAGGAAGGUGGGGACGACGUCAAGUCAUCAUGGCCUUUAUGCCCAGGGCUACACACGUGCUACAAUGAGCGGUACAGAGGGUUGCGACACAGCGAUGUGAAGCUAAUCUCAAAAAGCCGUUCUCAGUUCGGAUUGGAGUCUGCAACUCGACUCCAUGAAGUCGGAUUCGCUAGUAAUCGCAGAUCAGCCAUGCUGCGGUGAAUACGUUCCCGGACCUUGUACACACCGCCCGUCAAGCCAUGGGAGUUGGGUGUGCCUUAAGACGAUAACCGCAAGGAGUUGUCCAAGGUAAAACCGAUGACUGGGGCU